UAGGGAAUAUUGGACAAUGGGGGGAACCCUGAUCCAGCCAUGCCGCGUGGAGGAAGACUGCCCUCUGGGUUGUAAACUCCUUUUAUAUGGGAAGAACCGUCCUCAUUGAUGAGUGACCUGACGGUACCAUAGGAAUAAGCACCGGCUAACUCCGUGCCAGCAGCCGCGGUAAUACGGAGGGUGCAAGCGUUAUCCGGAUUCACUGGGUUUAAAGGGUGCGUAGGCGGAUAUGUAAGUCAGUGGUGAAAUCAACGGGCUCAACCUGUUAACUGCCAUUGAUACUGUGUAUCUUGAAUAUGAGAGAGGUAGGCGGAAUGUUGCAUGUAGCGGUGAAAUGCUUAGAUAUUCUACGGAACACCGAUUGCGAAGGCAGCUUACUAUUUCGUAAUUGACGCUGAGGCACGAAAGCGUGGGUAGCGAACA
rnacentral:rRNA from 1 species